CAGUCGCCGCGGUAAUACGAAGGGGGCUAGCGUUACUCGGAAUUACUGGGCGUAAAGGGCGCGUAGGCGGCGCUCCAAGUUAGGCGUGAAAGUCCUGGGCUCAACCUGGGAACUGCGCUUAAGACUGGAGUGCUUGAGGAUGGAAGAGGGUUGUGGAAUUCCCAGUGUAGAGGUGAAAUUUGUAGAUAUUGGGAAGAACACCGGUGGCGAAGGCGGCAACCUGGUCCAUUACUGACGCUGAGGCGCGACAGCGUGGGGAGCAAACAGGAUUAGAGACCCGCGUAGUCCCUGUCUCUUAUAC
rnacentral:rRNA from 1 species